rnacentral:rRNA from 1 species
AACGAACGCUGGCGGCAGGCCUAACACAUGCAAGUCGAACGCACCGCCAGGGGAGUGGCUGAUGGGUGAGUAACGCCUGGGAAUCUACUCACACCUACGGAAUAUAGCUUGGAGACUUGUGCUACUUCCGUAAACCCUCUCUGGGGGCAAGUUUUAUGGGGGAUGGCUGAGCUCGCGUUGGAUUAGCGGGCUGGCGGGGUAAUGUCCUUCCAUGGCGACGACGCAUAGCUGGUCUGAGAGGAUGAUCAGCCACAUUGGGCCUGAGACACGGCCCAAACUCCUACGGGAGGCAGCAGUGGGGAAUAUUGGACAAUGGGCGCAGGCCUGAUCCAGCCAGGCCGCGUGAGUGAUGAAAUCCUUAGGGUUGUAAAGCUCUUUCACCGGAGAAGAUAAUGACGGUAUCCGGAGAAGAAGCCCCGGCUAACUUCGUG